UGCUAUGCUUGAGAUAAUUUAUGUACAUAGCAAGGACUUCUUUUACAUGUAGUUAGACAUGGCAUUUACUAGAUUUUCCCCAACAUCCCAGUUGGGAUUAUUUGAAACCCUGUUAUAAACUGUCUUUCCUAAUAUUUUAUGAAAUAACCUUUUGUGAUUACAAUAAACAUUUUGAAAAUGUAGGAAGCUCUGUAAUCCUGUCCGUUCAGAAGGAACAAUUCUCUUCAGUUCCAGGUAGUGUCUUCUAGGUGUUUUUCUAUGCUUUUAAAAAUGAAACUGAGAUCACACAGUUAAAUAAAUGUGUGGAAGGGUGGACAAUGACAAAAGAUGGAUUCCAUUAUUUCACAUGUUCAAGAAGGUAAUGACUAUGGUUCCUUGUGGAGGCACCCUUUGGCAGCCAACUCACCUUUACUGACUUGAUUCCAUCUUGCCCUCUCUUGUAACCAGGAGGUAACUGGACACCAGAUGCUGGCCAGGUGGUGACUCAAGAUGGCGACUGGGCUGCUCCCCCUGGGGCACCUUCUCUCAAGAGUUCUCUUCUCUCCUCACAUUCUGCCUCUUUUGGAAGGAAAACAUCUGCACACCUUGGAAGCCAGUGGAAUAAUACCGGUGAAUCUGGAACACAGAGAGCACUGAGAGCCUGCAGCUGUCUGUGCUUCACAGGGCAAAGAGCCAAACAACCAGGCUCUCCUCACCAACUGGGCACCAUCUGCUAGACAUCUCCUUAAAAUGUGCUGCUGGACAUCCACGCUUGCAGAUUAGUGAGUCCUUUC